UUCCGUAGGUGAACCUGCGGAAGGAUCAUUACUGUAAAUUUAGUACUACACUGCGUGAGCGGAACGAAAACAACAACACCUAAAAUGUGGAAUAUAGCAUAUAGUCGACAAGAGAAAUCUACGAAAAACAAACAAAACUUUCAACAACGGAUCUCUUGGUUCUCGCAUCGAUGAAGAGCGCAGCGAAAUGCGAUACCUAGUGUGAAUUGCAGCCAUCGUGAAUCAUCGAGUUCUUGAACGCACAUUGCGCCCCUCGGCAUUCCGGGGGGCAUGCCUGUUUGAGCGUCGUUUCCAUCUUGCGCGUGCGCAGAGUUGGGGGAGCGGAGCGGACGACGUGUAAAGAGCGUCGGAGCUGCGACUCGCCUGAAAGGGAGCGAAGCUGGCCGAGCGAACUAGACUUUUUUUCAGGGACGCUUGGCGGCCGAGAGCGAGUGUUGCGAGACAACAAAAAGCUCGACCUCAAAUCAGGUAGGAAUACCCGCUGAACUUAAGCAUAUCAAUAAGGCGGAGGA
rnacentral:rRNA from 1 species